AUACUUACUGGCAGGGGAGAUACCAUGAUAGCAAAGAUGGCUUUCCCAGGGUAAGGCUUAUCCACUUCACUCUGGAUGUGCUGACCCUUGUGAUUUCCCCAAAUGUGGGAAAGUCAGCUGCAUAAUUUGUGGUAGUGAGGGACUGCGUUCACAUUUUCCUCUG